CCAUCCUGAUAUACAUAUUGUUGUCCAAAUUGUCAAGACUGUUUGCUUGAUUGGAUCGGUUGAGAAGUACAAGGAAUUGGCCAAGUUCAAUGUGAGGCAGCUUACAUCUUCUAAAUCCUAACUUGGCAAUUCAGUUUGGUUUUAAGCGGCCUACCAGUUUCUGUUCUCAGUCAUUUUCUUUAAUGCAUUUCCUACGAUAUUUUACCAAAUUUUGUACUUUGUUAUGCUUAGUUCAUUUCAAUCUUAAACUUGUGGCUCAGCCUGAAAAAAAGAAAAGAAAAGAAAAGAAUAGAAAACGAAGAGGAUUUCAGAGGUGUUUCUGUACAACAAAUAUUCCACUUCGGAUACACAAGUAGUUCAUUCCCCCUAAAAAUCAGGUGUCGGAAAUUUUCAGACAGAAAAUCGUCAAUCCAAUUCUGUCUUCUUUGUCCAGUGGCAA